ACGGAACGAGAGUUGCAUUGAGUUGUGUUUUGUGAUAUCAAAGCAAGCGAGGUUGAGCAGGAUGUUGCGAUGGAUGUUGAGUCGGCUUAGGGAAAAUUGGAUGCGUUGUGUCUUCAUACAUAGGCGUCAUCUUGUGACUCUCUAUUUAAUAACUUUUUCCGCUGCUAUCUUUUCAAAUUGAUGUCAUAAGAAUACAUUUCACGUCGUAUGGUUGGAUUGUGUCAAAUACUUUGAAACUUUAAUUCCCUGCUUAUUAUUUUUGGGUAAACUGAAAUGUUUUGUAGACUUGAACAAAUCUCUUUUGGUAGUUAAUUUAAGUUUUUGCUUUAA